rnacentral:rRNA from 1 species
UACGGAGGGGGCAAGCGUUGUUCGGAUUCACUGGGCGUAAAGGGAGCGUAGGCGGUCGGUCAAGUCCGGUGUGAAAGCCUUACCACUCAACGGAAGGAGGUCACCGGAAACUGGUCGGCUUGAGCAGGGUAGAGGUUAGCGGAAUUCCUGGUGUAGCGGUGGAAUGUGUAGAUAUCAGGAAGAACACCUGUGGCGAAGGCGGCUAACUGGGCCCUUGCUGACGCUGAGGCUCGAAAGCGUGGGGAGCAAACGGG